rnacentral:lncRNA from 1 species
CUCCCUUUUCCCAUAGAGAAGCUCUCCUUUUCUUCUUUUCCUAAAUAAUUUAGUGAACUAUGGAAUUCUCUCCUCCCUUUUAAGUGAACUAAUCAUCCCAACUGGUCCCAGUUGUUUUUAGUUUGGUUUUCCUGAGAAUAAAGCUUGAAGCAAAGACUUAAGUGCAGGUAGGGAUAUGGAAGGGAUAGUGGAUGGUGGGUGUGCCGCUUAGAACUUCUGCAGGAAUACAGGGCUGGGAGGCAGGGCCAACAUGGCGGAGAAGUAGGUGGAUGCGAAGUUCCCUCGUCUCUCAAACACACCAGUGUUGAGGCCAAAGGACUUUGAACUCCAAGAGUCCAGGCAGCAAAGUGAUAGAGACGCUUCCAGGGACCCACUGGACAACCUGACGGGCGAUAGGUGUUGUUGAUUCCCAGAGCCCAAUAACAAACCCAACCUGCGAGUGCAGUUGCCAUGCAGGGUCUGGGGGAGCAGAUGGAAGGCUAGCAUUUGGGAGCUGGAUCACCAUUGCCUGGAGGGCAGCGAGGACCGUGUUAAUAAAGGUAGGUGGAGUGGUGCAAGGUUUAAUGUGUGGGGGACUUGGGUUGUACACCAGUGGACAAGAAUGGAUUAGCUGGUGCAAUGUAUGAGCAUUCGAGAAAUAAUGAGGUAAACAGUAGCCAUGAAGGCAGUGGAAUUAGGUAGCUGUUGUUAAGUGUUGGUUUGUGGCCCCUCCACCCAGAGAGACUGCCAGGCUCUGUUGGUGCAUCUACUCUUUCUGUUCUGGUCAGAAACUGCCUCUGUGUAGUAAGCUGGUAUGAUAGGAGGGCUCAUCUGGCUUUUCUUUUCUCAGUUACCGCAGUCCUGUGUUGCCUGUUAUCUGAUUUCUGAAAACUGAUGUUCCUAUGUUUUGUCUGGGUUUCCAAGUUUAAGGUAGGAGGGUAAAUCUAGGCCCUGUUAUUCCAUCUUGUCAAAGAGUGUAAGUCCUUUCUUCUUCUUCUUCUUCUUCUUUUUUAACUUACCACUUUAUCAACACAAAGGAUUGUAAAUGAAAAAAUAAAAUGCUUGGUGGCUGAGGUGAGGGACA